rnacentral:rRNA from 1 species
UACGAAGGGGCUAGCGUUGCUCGGAAUCACUGGCGUAAAGGGUGCGUAGGCGGGUCUUUAAGUCAGGGUGAAAUCCUGGAGCUCAACUCCAGAACUGCCUUUGAUACUGAGGAUCUUGAGUUCGGGAGAGGUGAGUGGAACUGCGAGUGUAGAGGUGAAAUUCGUAGAUAUUGCAAGAACACCAGUGGCGAAGGCGGCUCACUGGCCCGAUACUGACGCUGAGGCACGAAAGCGUGGGGAGCAAACAG